GGAGACGUGCCAGAGUGGUUGAACGGGGCGGUCUCGAAAACCGCUAUACCAGAAAUGGUAUCGGAGGUUCGAAUCCUCCCGUCUCCG
rnacentral:tRNA from 1 species